AUUGAACGCUGGCGGCAUGCUUUACACAUGCAAGUCGGACGGCAGCACAGAGAAGCUUGCUUCUUGGGUGGCGAGUGGCGAACGGGUGAGUAACAUAUCGGAACGUACCGAGCAGUGGGGGAUAACUAAUCGAAAGAUUAGCUAAUACCGCAUAUCUUCUGAGGAAGAAAGCAGGGGACCAUUUGGCCUUGCGCUGUUUGAGCGGCCGAUAUCUGAUUAGCUAGUUGGUGGGGUAAAGGCCUACCAAGGCGACGAUCAGUAGCGGGUCUGAGAGGAUGAUCCGCCACACUGGAGCUGAGACGCGGCCCAGACUCCUACGGGAGGCAGCAGUGGGGAAUUUUGGACAAUGGGCGCAAGCCUGAUCCAGCCAUGCCGCGUGUCUGAAGAAGGCCUUCGGGUUGUAAAGGACUUUUGUCAGGGAAGAAAAGGGCGGGGUUAAUACCCCUGUCUGAUGACGGUACCUGAAGAAUAAGCACCGGCUAACUACGUG
rnacentral:rRNA from 1 species